rnacentral:lncRNA from 1 species
UUUUUUUUAGGAGUUCCUGUUGUGGCUCAGCAGAAAAUGAGCCCAACUAGUAUCAUGAGGAUGCAUGUUCAACCCCUGGCCUUGCUAAAUGGAUUAAAAAUGCAGUGUUGCUGGAAGCUGUGGUGUAGAUCGCAGACAUGGCUCAGACCCUGGGAUCCUGCACUUCUGUGACUAUGGCGUAGACCAGCAGCUAGAGCUCUGAUUAGACCCCUCACCUAAGAACUUCCAUGUGGGACAGGUGCUGCCCUAAAAAGCAAAAAAAAAAACAAAACAAAAAAAAUUUACCAUGGCUAUUAGGGCCUAUAUCACUUGUUGCCUGACUUCAUCUUCAACCUCAUCUUGUUCCAUGUACCAAUUUGCUUGCUAUGCUUCAGCCACUCUCUAGCCUCCUUUCUGUCCCUUAAGAAAAUCACAUAUCUUCCCCACUUCAUCCUUGCCCUGUUCCCUUACAUCCUUCCCAUGACUGGCUUCCCAUCAUUUGUUAUUUCAACUAAAUGUUGCUUUUACUAGCCACCUGAAGUGAAGCAGGGGAAUACAGUUCUCAUUGUUCUGUAACUCUGAUUUAUUAUUUUCAGAGCACUUCUUGGUCUCUGAAAUGUUUUUCUUUGUUAAAUGUUUAUUGGUUUAUUGUCUUUCUCUCCUAUUAUUAGUUCCUUGACAGUUGGAGACUUUUCUAUUUUUUUCAAAUAGAAUUCUCUGAGCCUAGAACAGAGUCCAAUAUUUAACAGCCAUUCAAAAAAAAAAAAUUUGGUGUAAGCAAAUAAACCCAUGUUUCCAGAAAUUGAUUUCUGUAGGGAUCCUGGAAAGCAAGAAGGGGCUCCAGCUCCAACAUUCUUUAAUUCUUGUAAUGCAUCAAAUCCCUUGUACUUGCUGUGACAACGUCAGACAAACUUCCUUUUUCUCCUCCUACUAGUUGCAAGAAAUAUUCAUAGUUAAGAAAAAGGUGAUUUGGGGAGUUCCCAUUGUGGUGCAGUGGAAAGGAAUCCGACUAGUACCAUGAAGAUGCGGAUUCAAUCCCUGGCCUCACUCAGUGGGUUGGGGAUCUGCUGGGGCCAUGAGCUGUGGUGUAGGUCACAGACACAGCUCAGAUCCUGCAUUGCUGUGUGUGUGGCUAUGACUGGAAGCUAUAGCUCCAAUUUAACCCCUAGCCCGGGAACUUCCAUUUGCCCCGCAGGUGUGGCCUUAAAAAGCAAAAGAAAGAAGGGAAGGAAGGGAGGGGUGAUUUUAAGAAAGGAGAAAUUUUUCACUAAGUUCCAUCUCAUCUAAGAGAUUGUAAUAGUGGUGGGAUUUUCAGCAAUAGUGAUGAUGUACUUGGAGAGAGACUAGGGAAGAACUAGAAAGAGAGGUAACCAAACACGGCUAACUUAGGAACACAGAAGGCCUGAUGAAUGAACUUAUGAAUUGGGGCCAAGAAUCAAAGAGGCUAAUGCGAUUCCUUCAUUUGCCUAUGGACUUUCAGCCCCAUGGGAUGGAAACAACCUUUACAUUCUGUGUACCCUUCUCAGAGUUUGUGGCUUGAACCAUAUGAGAUUAUUGAUAUUUGACUACCCUUGACUUACAGAAUUUUAUAUAAUUUUUCCUAUACUAGUUGAAUCCCUUCUCAUGGGCUCAAGGCAGAGAAUGGGGAGAUGCAGGAGAAACUGUGUAGAAAGAUUUAAAAUAGAUUCAUAGUGAACAUUAACCUGGGUCUGGUUUUCAGAAGAUGCCUUCAGUUCUUUAAAGC